GGGGGGUGGAGGGGGUGAUAUUCUCCAUCUCAACUGCCAAUUAGGACAAUGAGGUUCCUCUUUGGGUUCCUGAGCGCUGUGUGCACCCUGUGGCUGCUGACGAAUCCCAACAUGGCAGAGACCUAUUGGGCCUUCGUGAAAAAACUCUCCCCUUCUGAUGCCAGUGGGGAUUGAGAGCCCAAUACAGCCGACCUUGACAAGCAUUAACAUAACCCUAGGAACUGUAGCCAUGCAGUUGGAUUCUUCCGAAGAGCUUAACUCGUGCUGGGAUCAAGAAAAAUGGGCCUUGGUAGUUCGUGUUCCUGGAGUUGUGUCCAUGCCAGUGGACCAUGGCAGUAGACACAGAUGGUGCUCACACGCUCCAGAAGAGAAUUUGACUUCACUGCAGUUGUUGUUGCUACUACAGCGGUAGUGGCCACCACUGCUACUGUUUCUGGGAUUGUUUUUUCACAAUUGGUUACUACAGCUAGUACAGUGGAGAC